rnacentral:tRNA from 1 species
GGGAGUUUAGCUCAGUUGGUUCAGAGCAUUCCGAUGCAAUCGGAAGAGUCGGGUUUCGAACCUCUCAACUUUCA